rnacentral:rRNA from 1 species
AUGUUAGCUGUAGCCUGUAGGCCAUGUUUGCAAAAGGCUACUAAAGACCUUCUCUGGAGAGGUGGAAAGUUGAAUAUGCAUAGAAAAUUUGUGGAAAUUUUAGUACGGGAAUUUUGGGGCCAUACAUGUUGCAAUGCAACUCAAAAAACAAUGGCAUUUUUCUUCCGGCAAUCAAUGGAUAUUGUUGCACAUGUGUACAUACGUGGGACCUUUUCUUCACAAGACUCCAGAGAUGUCUCCCCCGCAAAAAUAAAAAGAAUAAUAAUAAAAAGACCCCAGAGGUGUGUCGACGAAAUGAUGUUAGUACAAGCUAUUGUGGUGGCAGUGUGUUGA